GAGUAACACGUAUCCAACCUGCCGUCUACUCUUGGACAGCCUUCUGAAAGGAAGAUUAAUACAAGAUGGCAUCAUGAGUCCGCAUGUUCACAUGAUUAAAGGUAUUCCGGUAGACGAUGGGGAUGCGUUCCAUUAGAUAGUAGGCGGGGUAACGGCCCACCUAGUCUUCGAUGGAUAGGGGUUCUGAGAGGAAGGUCCCCCACAUUGGAACUGAGACACGGUCCAA
rnacentral:rRNA from 1 species